UGUAAACAUCCUUGACUGAAAGCU
rnacentral:ncRNA from 5 species